rnacentral:lncRNA from 1 species
CAUCUUAUGGAGUCAUGUAAAAUUUGGAAGAUCUUCUAAUUGACAAUCAUAUUGUUUUAGAAGUAUAUAUCCUAUAUAUGGGUAAUAGAUAACAUCUAACGAACUAAAUCUUAUUCGAGUUCGUUUUUCUCCUUAAUGGAGAAGAUUUAUUAUCUUAUGAUGCUUAUUUCCUUGAUAUCUUUCAAGGAAACUGUUCUAAAGUGUUACAUUAUCUUGGAUCAAAUCUAAGGAGGUAAAUACUUUAGACGUCUUACUCAUCAACUUACAUUACUUGAAUUCUUCGAAACAUUUUGCAAAGUAUUCGGAUUUGUGUUUAUUCAAAAUAAACUAUAGUCCAACCGAGAGUGAUCUUCGGUGAAUGUCAUCCAACAUGAGUAGUAUUAUGUUGUGGACAAGUGCCACUAACAUCUAAGUGAAUUAACCUCAACAACUUUGUGAUUCUUUCUUCUUUCCAAAAGAAUAAAGAUUCGAACAUUUCGCCUCUAUACAAUUUUAACAAGAAGGUAUUGGAUCCGGAUCUAACGAUCCAAAGCAUCCAUCAAUGACCAACUUGUAAUUUAUGUUUUAGAGGUAUCACAACUCAGUUGGGAUUAGUCACUACCUUGCAACCUUUUUUGGGUUUUAAGCAUCAUUUUAUUCUAAACAGUUAACACCACCAUAUUAUCUCUACUAUAGAGACAAUCAAUUAGAUUACCAUGAUCCAAUCAUUGAUUAAUAAAGAACAACGUUUUGUCAAACAAAACAUUCAUCCAUCUCUACUAUAGUGACGGAAUUAAAUUCCUUAAAAUUGGAAUGUAAAGACAAUCUUUGGUUUUUCCAAUUUCUUUGGUAGUUCUUAUGAGGAAGUAAGUACUAUAUGCUUUCGCAGAGAUCCAUAUUUUAUCCACGUUCUGAAUGUGAAGCACCUUUUCUUCUCUCAUAUAUCUUUUACUUCUUAUUAGUCACACUUUUACAAUGAUUUGUAAACCAUAGUUACUAAUACGGAAUCAAGCAUUCAAGUAGAAGAACCAACUGUUUUGAACUAUUCAAGAACAAUGUCCAUCCUUGCAUGCACUCAAAAACAAAACAUUAACCAUGAAAUUCAAAGGCGGAAUCAUGCUUGCAUGCACUCAAAAACAAAACAUUAACCAUGAAAUUCAAAGCCUAGUAGAUUGGUGAACCAAGACUCAACUCAAAUCAAAGUGAGUUGAGAAAUAUAUACCUUUGUAGAUUCCUCUUUGCAUAAGCAAAUGCUAAUCACCCAAAGAGAGGGCCUUCAAUCCUUGCAUCUAAAAUCUAUGGAUUUGGAUGGAUGAAAAGGUUCUCCAAGUUCCCAAAAUUGAGAACCUCUAAGUCUCUACACCAAGGUAAGAUUGAUGAAGAAAUGAGUGACCUUGGAGGAGUGGGAUUGCUAGCUAAUCCCUCCAAGAGGGCCGGCCUCUUUAGAGAGAAAGGAGAGCUUUGUGUUCUCUCCAAUUUCCUAAAAGAAACCCUUUUUGAAUUUAGGCUAUAAAGUUCUUUAUAUAGUCACUUCUUUAAGUGACCUAAAGAACCAAAAACCCUAAUUCAACAUACAUGGCCGGGCAUAUAAGGGAUAUGGGCUUUUGGGCCUUUGUGAAUCUUUAUUCAUUAAAUUGUCAUACAACUUAAGUCAAUGGGCUUGAUGUUCGAAGCCCAUUGGGCCUUAAGUUCCAAAACUAUCCCGAGGUCUUUAACGAACUUAUUCGUUUGAUUAAUUAACAUAUUAAUUAAUCCUUG